AAAAAAUUAAAACAGGGAAACUCCGCCUCGGGAUUAAUUCUUUCAUUAACUUGGGCAUGCUGGGACGUAUCCUAUCCAAAAUAUUUGGUAUUUUAAAUUUAAAAUUGCAUUAAUUUAAAUAAAGGAGGAAGUGUGAAAAAUGAAUAAACUUAAUUACGUCCGAAUUAAACGGGCCCACUUUUCUCCGGGAAGAAGGGCGUUUCAGCGUGGAAUCCAUUCGUUCGCAGGCCUUUUAUUCCCGUCUUCGGAGAUGAAAAUAAUCCGGAGGAUUUAGUCGGGGGCCCCCGGGAACAAACAACACACUCGGCGCUCGGCGGCAUACGAAUCACGGCAACCUGGGUCCGCUUUCCCGUGUGUUGCGGGACGCAUGAGCGGGCGCUGAAGGCGCCGGGCGGCCCGCGACUUGGUUUCGUCAGUCUCACUCAUGCCUGCGCCCAGAGGUAUCGUCGCUUCGGUGGUUUUCGCUGGCGGAUUACGCGAUCGCGCGCCAACUCGCACCUCCGACAUACGCGGUUUUUUCGUUCGUGGAACAAAUCUCAAAUCGCUCUACAAUCCUUUAUCACCUUUAAUCCCUAUCAAAACCGCACAAACCUGCGAACAUCUUGCGUCGGAGUAUUUCGUUUUAAAUUCCAUCCUCCCAACGUCUCAUUGGGCACCCUUUACGGCCUAUCCUCGGAGAGGUAAAAUGUACGUUGAAAUCAUCUGCCAUUCUUGGCAUCUGACCAUACUGAAUGAGGUUUAAAAGAUAGUCUGUUAGGAGUCCAUGAUCUCAUGCACCUUUACAUUCCUAACGCAAUCUAUUCUAGAAAAACCAUCUGAUCCACUCAAAAAAUCCAUCUUCGUGGCCCCUAGUAUUUCAUGGCUCCGUUUUCUCAUCAGCAACACUUCACAUCUUUAAGUUGUACUCUUGGAGAUCCAAUAAUGGUCUCAUCAAUUUUUGCUGAUAAAUUUUAGGUGAAGUCGUUUCCUCAAUCAAAUGAGACUUCUCGUAUUAUGCGGUACUGAGGGGUGAAAUCUCACAUAAUUCUUACAAAAAAAUAAAAAAAGACGAUUGCAUUUCUCUUUGAUGGGGUGAAGAUUGGCUUAGGCAAACAAAGGCCGAGGGAAAUCAAGAGAAAACUUUGAAACUUCCACGUCCCUGAGGCGAAAACGGGGGUAGAAUGAAUUCUGAUUCUACAUAUGAAUUAUUUACUUAAUAUUUGUGUUAUCUAUAUCAGUAGAGAUAAGAAUUUUUCUUCGGGGGAUUUAUUUAUUCCUCGAUUUCCUCAAGCGCGUUGUUUACUUAGAAAUCAUUCGUGAUUGGGGUGUAAAUGUAAGGGAGGGUUCAGAGGGUGCCUUCCUUCUUCCGUUUCAAUCCAAAUGUUAGUAUGAAUGGAAAUGAAAGGAUUUUACAGUGAUAAUUUUGGAAACUUUGGUCAAUGUUUUAACCGUCCAUUAAAUAUGUUAAAGUUCUUAAUUAUUACAUAAAUUAUCAAGCCCCGUGAGAAGAACUCACUUGCAGUCAGCUUUAAAACCUUUUUUUUUUACUCGCUGUAGUUACUUUUCAUUUUAGUCAGUAUAAAUAACGUUUUUUUUUAACCACUGUAUUAUUCUAGCUGGAGACAGACACUCGAAAAUGUAGGAAGGGGAGGAAUGAAAAAAAGAUUACUUAAUUUUUGAUGAUAAUGUGAUACGCAAGGGCGUAUCUCAAUUUCCACAUGAUCCCUGCACUCUGUAUAACUCGGUGCUUUUCGAGGCUCAUGCGGAAUUAGAGGUACGCGACUCCCUUACGUCAGAAGAGCAACGAUAUGGAUGGUAAAAUGUUCGUCUUACAAAGAAAAUAAAUAAUAAAAAUGCAUACAAAUUACUUUUAAUCAAAUAACGCAGUAAAAUAAAACUAACAGUAGGAUAAUAAAAAAAACAGACGCUUCCAUUCGAAAACAAAGUAUUUUGAUUAGAAAUUUCACUUGAUCCUCAGUGAAAAUAAAACGCAUAUUGAGUACUAUAUGAGGGUACUUGCAUUCAUUUUUUAGCUUAAGUCUGCGUGGAACCUCAAUAUUGCAGGCACGUCCCCAUUCCAUCAUGUAUAUAACUUCAUCCAAAUAAUUAGUGAAAUGCUACGCUGUUUAUGAGUUAUCGAAUGCUGCAGGGAAAGUAUGCACUAAUAAUCAAUUUAUAAUUUAUUAAUAGAAAAUUUAAUAAUUAGUAAAUUGCAUUAAUCGAAUUUUGCUGGUCAAUUUUAAACAGUUACAUCGUGUUGUGUUGAAGUGUGUUGAUUAGAAGGGAUCUCAGAACGAUGACGCAAUCGGUGGUUAUCUGUAAUUUUGUAAACUUUUUUCCGUGACGUUUCAAUAUUGUAAAUACAUCUGAAAUCUUGCAAAUAGUGACAAAUUUUGUGCUUCAUUGCGUACGAGCAGUUCCCCUUGUUCACUUACAUUCAUGGCGGCAGCUUUAAAAUGUGGCCCUCAAAGCCUGCGCUCAAGGAAUCAAGGUAAAAUAACAAAACAUAUUUAUUUCUUGUAAUUUAUUCUAUUAAUAAAAUCCUUUUUUCUCAUUUGCAUGAAUUUGUUUUGCUUAAUCUUUUUAUAACUUCCGGAAGGGCUUUUGGAGGAUAGGGUACUUUGGCGGCUGGGUGUCACAGAGCGCCAAAGAGUGCUAUGGAAGCGGCUUUUAUUUAUGUAUGUAUCCUUUUAUACAUUCCGAUAAUAGUAUCGCAGAAAACGUCCAUUUUGGAAAGUUUUGAGGAAGUAAUUUCGGGCUAAGGACCGACUAACGAGCGGUAGACAAUACAGCUCGUGGCAGUCGUUAGAGACGAUUUCAGCACGUGGCAUUUAUUGACAAAGAAGGAAAAGUUCGCAAUCCCAAAAAAACCUCCCUAUGCGAGACAUUAAUAAUUCACUUCGUAUCUUAUCUUAACUAAAAAUUUUGAUAUGGGACAUGAAGAUGUCAAAAAACAAAAUUGAGUUCAGAAAUUUUAGGUAAGUUUUCAAACAUGUUCAUUUAUUGGUGACUUUCUUUCCACACGAAAAAAUAAGCAUCGUCAGAUUUCCUGAGACCAUACCUUAUUUUAGAUGCAAGUCGACUUUCAUAUGAACGUAAUUAAGUUCUGUAGUAAUUACUUUUAAUGGCUUAUUUUUCUUUUUUUUUUCUUUUACAAUUACUUCAAGCACCCUUGAAGGGGUAAUCCUGCGCUUAGAAUUAAAUCCACUCCAAC
rnacentral:lncRNA from 1 species